rnacentral:tRNA from 1 species
GCUCCAGUCGUCUAGUUCGGUCAAGGAUCCCGGCCUUUCGAGUCGGCGACCCGGGUUCAAAUCCCGGCUGGAGCA